rnacentral:rRNA from 1 species
AGAUUGAACGCUGGCGGCAUGCCUUACACAUGCAAGUCGAACGGUAACGGGUUAAGCCGACGAGUGGCGAACGGGUGAGUAAUAUAUCGGAACGUGCCCAGUCGUGGGGGAUAACGUAGAGAAAUUUACGCUAAUACCGCAUACGAUCUAAGGAUGAAAGCGGGGGACCUUCGGGCCUCGCGCGACUGGAGCGGCUGAUAUCAGAUUAGGUUGUUGGUGAGGUAAAAGCUCACCAAGCCGACGAUCUGUAGCUGGUUUGAGAGAACGACCAGCCACACUGGGACUGAGACACGGCCCAGACUCCUACGGGAGGCAGCAGUGGGGAAUUUUGGACAAUGGGCGAAAGCCUGAUCCAGCAAUGCCGCGUGCAGGGAAGAAGGCCUUCGGGUUGUAAACUGCUUUUGUACGGAACGAAAGGCUCUUUUAAUAAAGAGGGCCCAUGACGGUACCGUAAGAAUAAGCACCGGCUAACUACGUGCCAGCAGCCGC